UUCACUUUCAAUGUUCAUAUCAUGGGCUGUUUACGAGUACAUUCAAAAGUACUCAUUGGCUUGCAACAGGUUAUAUUAUUGACCAAACAUGGAAGGGCCGGAGUUUGGAGAUGAGUACGUCUUUGGAGACGCCCCUGCGAACGAGGACGCUUCCGAGUCAGAAUGCUUGUCGGUGUAGGCUUGAUGGCAUGGGCACCUGCUUAGCCCCUAUGAUUUCCGCUCUUAGUUGUAUCAGUACAAUUUGGCAUUAGGCCCAACCUUGUGAACUUGACCAUUCGGUCAUGUGAUG
rnacentral:lncRNA from 1 species